UUAUAAUGAUUUUAAAUAAUGUUGAUUUGCGGAGGGUUUAGCUUUUCAAUCAAUAUGGAGAAACACCAAAUGAUGCACCCAGCAUCAUCCUACUAGAAACGUUCACUAGGUUUGGCAAAUAGGAGACACUUCUCUCAUACUUGACAUCUUUCCUGCGAGAGGCUCCAUCAACUCCACCAAAGGCUUGGUUAAUGCAACGCUAGCGCAAUCUUCCGGAAGUGCACGGUUAUAGAAAAGGGAGGUUGAGUUCGUGUUUGUGUUUUCAGAUCUUUUCUUGAAAACCACAAGGCCGAGUUCAUUAACAAAACCAACAUUCACCACAGAAGAUGUGAUCAAUGAAGAGACCGAGGAUGAAGAAGAGGAACCAACAAGCAAGACCCCGAUUCCACCGGAUUUAAGAAUAUAAAGUGUCGAUAAUUUAAGUCUGAGGUGCAGUGGAUGAUGAGAAAGCAAAGACAAAUCGUAAGAUAGAAUUGUUCUCUUCGCACUUUCGUACUACCAACUUGAUACUGUGAAAGCCCAAACUUUAGACAAAGGACACACGUUCGUUGAUGAAGAAAGAAUGGAGGGAGAUAAAAAACGGAAAAGAAUAAUUUUGGAAUCCACGUAACCCUAAAUCCUUUUCCACAUCACUUUUUUACAUUAAAAUUUAAUUACAAAUGAACCCAUCUUGACUUUGUAAAAGGUGGGCAAACUAGGGUUGUUAAUAUAUCUAUCACCACCCCCUCUUCCUCCCCGCCGCCACUCAUCCCUCUUCCUAUCUUCCUCGAUUAGCCCGGGUCCGCUGCCUUCUUCGUCCCCGCCGCCACCCAUCCCUCGAUUAGCUCUCUGUGGCUUCCUCAUCGGCUCCCUCUUCGCUCCAACGUCAAUGGCUUCUCCAGCGUUCUCCCAUUUUCAGAUUCAAGAUGGAUGUUCCUUCCGUUGCUCGACAAGCCUUCAAGCUUUCUGUUCUUGCUGCAACUUUUGAUAUCUUUUUCUGUUUAUGAGCAUGAGGAGGAAGAAUGGGAGACUUGUGAUUGCAGAUUUGGCUUCGAAGAUGUCAAGGUUGAAGGUGGUGGAUCUUAAGUUUAAUUGUUUCUUAAGAUUAAGGUGUGAUUGGACCGUCAUUAGGCCAGCGAAAGGUAGCCACCCACACAGCUUGGACAAGGAGGAGGUAACUUGGAGGAUGGAGGACAACUAGGGAGCCCGUUUGGUCUUCAAGACAACAUGGAGUGCUUUGAAUAAGGGACUUCAACUCUAUAUCCGAAACAGUGUAACUCCAUCUUCUGAACAUAGAAGCAUUUCAAAGAUGAAAACUCUUGAGUCUACUCCUACCAUGUUGAAUCUAAAAGAAGGAAUGAACAGACUGAAAGCUAAGUUAUCAAAAUACUCUCUGCCGGUUUAUCUCUGUCAAAUAAAAACGAUCUGGAAUAUAAGCAAGAUGAAAGUCAUCAAACUCCUCUUCCACAGGAAAAACUGUUUAGUUUAACUCUAGAGCGUAACAAGCGUAAUGGUUUUAUUGAUAGCAAUGGUUAUGGAAUUCGGUCUUUUGAAAAUAAUUGCAAGUCAUGUAAAGACUUCGGACACCAAACUGGACGAGGAAAACUUAAUUUUGAUUUCAGCUGAUGUUUCUUGCAAUGAUGAAAAUCUUAAGACUGGAAAUGGAAGCUUCUCCCUCGCAGAUGCCUCAUUUAACGAAGGUGGUAGAUGUGAACCUGGCAGAUGGAACGGUUGAGAAAGGGAAAGAUGAAAUACCGGUUCCAAGCCCUCCUAUCCCAGAAGUAGCUACUCUGUUGCAUUCCCUGCAAGACGCUUCCAAGGGUAACUUAGAUGGUCAGGGUCACGAUAACUGCUAUCAUUCAGUCUCGAAGUAGCUCAGAGCGGUCUUUUCAAAUCAGGUAUUGUCAUUUCCUCUGGGAAGAAAAGAAAAGGUGUUGAGGUGCUAGUCAAUGAAGACAACAUAGAUAAAAUAGGUAGAAUUGACAGAAGUCCAGAGGUUCAUACACGUGGGAAUGGUGACGUACAGUUAGAGCAAACAUAUUACUUGAGAAGAGAAAAAGAGAAGCUUGGAGAUCAGACUUGGAAUGAUGAGGAUCUUGUAUGGCUACUGUUUUAUGUUGUAUUAUAUAUAAUUUCAGCUGUUUAGAUUGGCCUCUCAACUUUUCAAUUAUAUUGCUGAUUCUUAAAAAUUUCUUAGCCGGAACAUAACAGUUGCUACCUCCCUUAGUUGAUAAGCUAAAUUGGUAUGUUCUAAUAUAUGGGCUAGAGUUAGGAAAUGUUAGUGUUAAAAGAAUUGUGGAUAUUGUUGCUUAGUACUACGUUUUGAUUGCUCAAGUGAAUUUGUCAUAGCUGUUUUAUAUAAACAAUUUUCGGCCGCCCUCCCUCUCAAUUUUAAGAUUGGCAAGCUGGAAGAUAUUUUGAUACAUCUGCAGAAAGUUAAGAAGUUGGAGAUUCUUUGUUCUGUAAUUCAAUCUCAGCACACAACUACUGACCCUCUAGCCAUUCAUAAAAAGAGAAUUGUGGAAACAAGAAUGUUGCUGUAUGAUAUAGCGUAUAAUAAAGCAAAAUUACAAUUAUUGAAUGUGAAGCGUGACAGAAAAAGUUACAACAG